GACGAACGCUGGCGGCGUGCUUAACACAUGCAAGUCGAACGGAAAGGCCCUGCUUUUGUGGGGUGCUCGAGUGGCGAACGGGUGAGUAACACGUGAGUAACCUGCCCUUGACUUUGGGAUAACUUCAGGAAACUGGGGCUAAUACCGGAUAGGAGCUCCUGCUGCAUGGUGGGGGCUGGAAAGUUUCGGCGGUUGGGGAUGGACUCGCGGCUUAUCAGCUUGUUGGUGGGGUAGUGGCUUACCAAGGCUUUGACGGGUAGCCGGCCUGAGAGGGUGACCGGCCACAUGGGGACUGAGAUACGGCCCAGACUCCUACGGGAGGCAGCAGUGGGGAAUAUUGCACAAUGGGCGGAAGCCUGAUGCAGCAACGCCGCGUGCGGGAUGACGGCCUUCGGGUUGUAAACCGCUUUCGCCUGUGACGAAGCGUGAGUGACGGUAAUGGGUAAAGAAGCACCGGCUAACUACGU
rnacentral:rRNA from 1 species